GAGAAAGUCAUAGAGGUUAUGGUGUUGGCUUGAAACCAAUUUUAGGGGGUUCGAAUCCUUCCUUUCUUA
rnacentral:tRNA from 1 species